AGAGGCAGUCCCAGGGAUGUGAGAAGAAAGGGCGAAAAGAGAAGUUGGCAAGAGGGAGAAGACAGAAGAGAGGCUGAGGGUGAGGGAGGCAGCUUUCAGGGAAACUUUCUUCUGUAACUCAGGCCCAAGAACCACCCUGUGAGAUUUGGCUCCUGACCUUCAUCUCUGGUCCUUCUCCAGAGGCCAGGAAGCCCAUGGUUUCUAGCCUUUGAGGAAGGGCUGAAGGAAGACUGUCUUACGAGAGAGGGAGGGAAGUAAGGGAGUCAAAAGCAAGGAAGGUGAAGACCAUGGGGGGAGGUGGAGGGAAAUCCAUGGAAGGGAAAGCAGUGUUCUGGAAAGCAUCAGGUGAGGAUCUGGGACUCACCUGUUUAAGGCCCAUGAGCUCGGCGUAGUCAAAGACGAGAAGAAUGCUGAAGAUGAGGAGCCAGGAAAUGACAUGGAGCACAAAGCAGAGGAGUGGCACCCAGGUGGCCCAUGGCUCUGCCUGAGCUGCCCACAAUACAGGGCCUCUGGAUAUGGGCUCCCAGGACCGCAUCACCAGCUGGGGAAGGAUGAGGGGCUGGGUAUCCUGGCCCACCCUUGGGAGACCUAGACCCUGAGGCUGCUGACGCCAGGCUGGCCUGUGGCUCUUCCUACCUCUACGACAAGCAUCGUUAAAUAUUCACCAUGUGGAGGGUGCUGGGUGGGGGCCCAAGGAUGUAAGGAUGACCUGUGUCUACCCUGAAGACUUACAGAACAGAAGGGGGUGGCCACCUAGGUACACAAAGUGGCCUAUGCCAAGCACCCACUGAGAAAGACUGAUGAGUGUGAAUUGGGAAUCCUUUUGUGAGACCUAGGCAAGUGGUUCUGAGGAAAGGGUAGGACUGAAGAGCAAACGAGGGGAUCUCAAGCAGGACAACAUGAACAAAGUUGCAAAGGCCUCCUCCAGAGCUGGGGAAGAGGAUUCAUGUUGGGUAGUCACAAAAGACAUGGAUGGAGAGGCCACCAGUUGGAUUGUCCCUCUUUUAUUUCGGUUGGCUAAAUUUGCUCCCUCUUUUGAACUCUCCUCCGGUCUUCUCCACAAAGCACUUUCCUUCGAAUACUCUGUUUUAUCGCUCUUAGUCUCCUACUCCGUCCUCACACCCUCACCUUUCCAAACCGCUAACCCCUGAGUUCCUAAUUUAGCCCUGUAGUCUCUCUGCAGCUUCUCGGCGGCUUUCAAGGUUCUCGUUCCCACUCCCGUACUCCCGCUGUCAUUUGUCCCCAGGCCCCGCCUCGCUCUGUCCACUCGGGCUCCACCUCCCUACCCCACAGCUCAUCCUACAUCCCUCCCGCUCACCCGGACCAGCAGACUCCGGGAUCCCUCCAAGAAGUGGCCGAAGGGAAGUAAAGCGCACGAACUCCACCCCGGUGCCAAAGGCCAGGAUGAAAGAGGCGAGGGCAGCAGAGACCAGGAGCAGAGCGGGGGCCAUGGCGACAAGCAAAGGGUGGAGAAAGGGGAGGGUUUGGGAUUCCCGCGGCCGCAGGCCCCGCCUCUUGCCCCGCCCAUGGCCGGACUCCAGUCCAGGAGGGCUGGGCUCCUGUGCCCGCCGCCACCCGGGCUUCCGGGUGGCCGCGCGCCUCUGUCUCUCAACCCGCAGCAGGGCUGGCAUCUGGUGCCUUCCCCAGCCAGCUACCUCCGCGUCACAGGGGGAAAUGUUAGAAUCCAAGUGAGAGGUGAAAAGGACAGCGGCUGUGCGGCCACUCGAAUGGGUUGAGUUGCUUCUUGUUUUUCCAAUAUAAAAUAAAGGCAGUAUGUUAAAAA